GGGAAACCGGGGCUAAUACCGGAUAAUAUAUUGAACCGCAUGGUUCAAUAGUGAAAGACGGUUUUGCUGUCACUUAUAGAUGGAUCCGCGCCGCAUUAGCUAGUUGGUAAGGUAACGGCUUACCAAGGCAACGAUGCGUAGCCGACCUGAGAGGGUGAUCGGCCACACUGGAACUGAGACACGGUCCAG
rnacentral:rRNA from 1 species